UGCCAGCAGCCGCGGUAACACGUACUGUGCAAGCGUUGUUCGGAAUCACUGGGCGUAAAGCGCGCGUAGGCGGCAAGGUAAGUCAGAUGUGAAAUCCCACGGCUCAACCGUGGAAGUGCAUUUGAAACUGGAUGGCUUGAGUACUGGAGGGGGUGGUGGAAUUCCCGGUGUAGAGGUGAAAUUCGUAGAUAUCGGGAGGAAUACCGGUGGCGAAGGCGACCACCUGGCCAGAUACUGACGCUGAGGUGCGAAAGCGUGGGGAGCAAACAGGAUUAGAUA
rnacentral:rRNA from 1 species